rnacentral:rRNA from 1 species
GCAGUCGACGAUGAAGCCCAGCUUGCUGGGUGGAUUAGUGGCGAACGGGUGAGUAACACGUGAGUAACCUGCCCUUAACUCUGGGAUAAGCCUGGGAAACUGGGUCUAAUACCGGAUAGGAGCGCCUACCGCAUGGUGGGUGUUGGAAAGAUUUAUCGGUUUUGGAUGGACUCGCGGCCUAUCAGCUUGUUGGUGAGGUAAUGGCUCACCAAGGCGACGACGGGUAGCCGGCCUGAGAGGGUGACCGGCCACACUGGGACUGAGACACGGCCCAGACUCCUACGGGAGGCAGCAGUGGGGAAUAUUGCACAAUGGGCGAAAGCCUGAUGCAGCGACGCCGCGUGAGGGAUGACGGCCUUCGGGUUGUAAACCUCUUUCAGUAGGGAAGAAGCGAAAGUGACGGUACCUGCAGAAGAAGCACCGGCUAACUACGUGCCAGCAGCCGCGGUAAUACGUAGGGUGCGAGCGUUAUCCGGAAUUAUUGGGCGUAAAGAGCUCGUAGGCGGUUUGUCGCGUCUGUCGUGAAAGUCCGGGGCUUAACCCCGGAUCUGCGGUGGGUACGGGCAGACUAGAGUGCAGUAGGGGAGACUGGAAUUCCUGGUGUAGCGGUGGAAUGCGCAGAUAUCAGGAGGAACACCGAUGGCGAAGGCAGGUCUCUGGGCUGUAACUGACGCUGAGGAGCGAAAGCAUGGGGAGCGAACAGGAUUAGAUACCCUGGUAGUCCAUGCCGUAAACGUUGGGCACUAGGUGUGGGGACCAUUCCACGGUUUCCGCGCCGCAGCUAACGCAUUAAGUGCCCCGCCUGGGGAGUACGGCCGCAAGGCUAAAACUCAAAGGAAUUGACGGGGGCCCGCACAAGCGGCGGAGCAUGCGGAUUAAUUCGAUGCAACGCGAAGAACCUUACCAAGGCUUGACAUGUUCCCGAUCGCCGUAGAGAUACGGUUUCCCCUUUGGGGCGGGUUCACAGGUGGUGCAUGGUUGUCGUCAGCUCGUGUCGUGAGAUGUUGGGUUAAGUCCCGCAACGAGCGCAACCCUCGUUCCAUGUUGCCAGCACGUAAUGG